AGUGAUUAACUCUGUCCUUCCUUACGUAGUAGCCUCACUUGGGACAGAAGCGAACACAAUGCUUAGAGUCUGCUUCCGAUUAAAACUCUCUCAAGUUGUCUUCUUUCUCGAGUGGUGAUGAUGGCGAAGUUUUUGAAAGAGAUCAGAGACAAACAGAUGAGAUAGAUGAUGAGGUUGUCCAUCCAUCUCAAUGUAUAUAUCUUCAUGCUUAACUUCCAGAAAUCGCCAAAACCAAACGAGUUUUGCCGAAUGAAUAAACGAUGGCAAUCAUACAUUACGCAAGGUGAAAGACGCAUAGCUGACGAGGCACUAUCAAGAAUCUCCCAGUUAAUUGUUGCUUAUACUGGUAAGCUAUUUUUGGUAAAGUACAACAAGUUUAGCCCCUUAUUGAUAGAUGUAAGUCGCACAGUUUUUAGUCUUUUGGACCCAAUAUAGUUUCCAGAGUUGUUGAUA